GCCUAACACAUGCAAGUCGAGCGAGAUCUUCGGAUCUAGCGGCGGACGGGUUAGUAACGCGUGGGAACGUACCCAAAGGUAGGGAAUAGCCACUGGAAACGGUGAGUAAUACCCUAUGUGCCCUUCGGGGGAAAGAUUUAUCGGAGAAGGAUCGGCCCGCGUUAGAUUAGGUAGUUGGUGGGGUAAUGGCCUACCAAGCCUACGAUCUAUAGCUGGUUUGAGAGGAUGAUC
rnacentral:rRNA from 1 species